rnacentral:rRNA from 1 species
AUACGGAGGAUCCGAGCGUUAUCCGGAUUUAUUGGGUUUAAAGGGUGCGCAGGCGGGAGAUUAAGUCGGCGGUGAAAUUUUGCAGCUCAACUGUAAAAGGGCCUUCGAAACUGGUUUUCUUGAGUGGAGAUGAAGGAGGCGGAAUUUGUGGUGGAGCGGGGAAAUGCAUAGAUAUCACGAGGAACUCCGAUUGCGCAGGCAGCUUACUAAACUACUACUGACGCUCAGGCACGAAGGCGUGGGGAUCAAACAGGAUUAGAUACCCUGGUAGUCCACGCAGUAAACGAUGAUUACUAGCUGUUUGCGAUACAAUGUAAGCGGCUGAGCGAAAGCGUUAAGUAAUCCACCUGGGGAGUACGUUCGCAAGAAUGAAACUCAAAGGAAUUGACGGGG